GUGCCAGCAGCCGCGGUAAUACGUAGGCAGCGAGCGUUGUUCGGAAUUACUGGGCGUAAAGAGUGUGUAGGCGGUGUUCCCAGUCUGUUGUGAAAUCUCCCGGCUUAACUGGGAGGGUGCAGCGGAAACUAGAAUGCUAGAGGGUGGGAGAGGUAAGCGGAAUUCCUGGUGUAGCGGUGAAAUGCGUAGAUAUCAGGAGGAACACCUGUGGUGUAGACAGCUUACUGGACCACUUCUGACGCUGAGACACGAAAGCGUGGGUAGCAAACAGGAUUAGAAACCCCCGUAGUCC
rnacentral:rRNA from 1 species